rnacentral:rRNA from 1 species
AAAUUGAAGAGUUUGAUCAUGGCUCAGAUUGAACGCUGGCGGCAGGCCUAACACAUGCAAGUCGAGCGGUAGCACAGAGAGCUUGCUCUCGGGUGACGAGCGGCGGACGGGUGAGUAAUGUCUGGGAAACUGCCUGAUGGAGGGGGAUAACUACUGGAAACGGUAGCUAAUACCGCAUAAUGUCGCAAGACCAAAGUGGGGGACCUUCGGGCCUCAUGCCAUCAGAUGUGCCCAGAUGGGAUUAGCUAGUAGGUGGGGUAACGGCUCACCUAGGCGACGAUCCCUAGCUGGUCUGAGAGGAUGACCAGCCACACUGGAACUGAGACACGGUCCAGACUCCUACGGGAGGCAGCAGUGGGGAAUAUUGCACAAUGGGCGCAAGCCUGAUGCAGCCAUGCCGCGUGUGUGAAGAAGGCCUUCGGGUUGUAAAGCACUUUCAGCGGGGAGGAAGGCGGUGAGGUUAAUAACCUCAUCGAUUGACGUUACCCGCAGAAGAAGCACCGGCUAACUCCGUGCCAGCAGCCGCGGUAAUACGGAGGGUGCAAGCGUUAAUCGGAAUUACUGGGCGUAAAGCGCACGCAGGCGGUCUGUCAAGUUGGAUGUGAAAUCCCCGGGCUCAACCUGGGAACUGCAUUCGAAACUGGCAGGCUAGAGUCUUGUAGAGGGGGGUGGAAUUCCAGGUGUAGCGGUGAAAUGCGUAGAGAUCUGGAGGAAUACCGGUGGCGAAGGCGGCCCCCUGGACAAAGACUGACGCUCAGGUGCGAAAGCGUGGGGAGCAAACAGGAUUAGAUACCCUGGUAGUCCACGCCGUAAACGAUGUCGAUUUGGAGGUUGUGCCCUUGAGGCGUGGCUUCCGGAGCUAACGCGUUAAAUCGACCGCCUGGGGAGUACGGCCGCAAGGUUAAAACUCAAAUGAAUUGACGGGGGCCCGCACAAGCGGUGGAGCAUGUGGUUUAAUUCGAUGCAACGCGAAGAACCUUACCUGGUCUUGACAUCCACAGAACUUAGCAGAGAUGCUUUGGUGCCUUCGGGAACUGUGAGACAGGUGCUGCAUGGCUGUCGUCAGCUCGUGUUGUGAAAUGUUGGGUUAAGUCCCGCAACGAGCGCAACCCUUAUCCUUUGUUGCCAGCGGUCCGGCCGGGAACUCAAAGGAGACUGCCAGUGAUAAACUGGAGGAAGGUGGGGAUGACGUCAAGUCAUCAUGGCCCUUACGACCAGGGCUACACACGUGCUACAAUGGCAUAUACAAAGAGAAGCGACCUCGCGAGAGCAAGCGGACCUCAUAAAGUAUGUCGUAGUCCGGAUUGGAGUCUGCAACUCGACUCCAUGAAGUCGGAAUCGCUAGUAAUCGUAGAUCAGAAUGCUACGGUGAAUACGUUCCCGGGCCUUGUACACACCGCCCGUCACACCAUGGGAGUGGGUUGCAAAAGAAGUAGGUAGCUUAACCUUCGGGAGGGCGCUUACCACUUUGUGAUUCAUGACUGGGGUGAAGUCGUAACAAGGUAACCGUAGGGGAACCUGCGGUUGGAUCACCUCCUUA